UUGGAGGGCAAGUCUGGUGCCAGCAGCCGCGGUAAUUCCAGCUCCAAUAGCGUAUAUUAAAGUUGUUGCAGUUAAAAAGCUCGUAGUUGAAUUUCGGGAUCAGACUGUCGGUCGUGCCUCGGUACGCACUGGCAUUAUUGGUUCCUACCUUCUGAAGAGCCGCGAUGUCAUUAAUUUGGUGUCGCGGGGAAUCAGGACUGUUACUUUGAAAAAAUUAGAGUGUUUAAAGCAGGCUUACGCUUGAAUACAUUAGCAUGGAAUAAUGAAAUAGGACGUUUGAUUCUAUUUUGUUGGUUUCUAGGAUCGACGUAAUGAUUAAUAGGGAUAGUUGGGGGCAUUAGUAUUCAAUUGUCAGAGGUGAAAUUCUUGGAUUUAUUGAAGACUAACUACUGCGAAAGCAUUUGCCAAGGAUGUUUUCAUUAAUCAAGAACGAAAGUUAGGGGAUCGAAGACGAUCAGAUACCGUCGUAGUCUUAACCAUAAACUAUGCCGACUAGGGAUCGGAUGAUGUUAAUUUUAUAAUGACUCAUUCGGCGCCUUACGGGAAAC
rnacentral:rRNA from 1 species